rnacentral:rRNA from 1 species
GACGAACGCUGGCGGUGUGCUUAACACAUGCAAGUCGAACGGAAAGGCCCUGCUUUUGUGGGGUGCUCGAGUGGCGAACGGGUGAGUAACACGUGAGUAACCUGCCCUUGACUUUGGGAUAACUUCAGGAAACUGGGGCUAAUACCGGAUAGGAGCUCCUGCUGCAUGGUGGGGGUUGGAAAGUUUCGGCGGUUGGGGAUGGACUCGCGGCUUAUCAGCUUGUUGGUGGGGUAGUGGCUUACCAAGGCUUUGACGGGUAGCCGGCCUGAGAGGGUGACCGGCCACAUGGGGACUGAGAUACGGCCCAGACUCCUACGGGAGGCAGCAGUGGGGAAUAUGGCACAAUGGGCGGAAGCCUGAUGCAGCAACGCCGCGUGCGGGAUGACGGCCUUCGGGUUGUAAACCGCUUUCGCCUGUGACGAAGCGUGAGUGACGGUAAUGGGUAAAGAAGCACCGGCUAACUACGU